rnacentral:rRNA from 1 species
UAUCAUUAACUGAAUCCAUAGGUUAAUGAGGCGAACCGGGGGAACUGAAACAUCUAAGUACCCCGAGGAAAAGAAAUCAACCGAGAUUCCCCCAGUAGCGGCGAGCGAACGGGGAGCAGCCCAGAGCCUGAAUCAGUGUGUGUGUUAGUGGAAGCGUCUGGAAAGGCGCGCGAUACAGGGUGACAGCCCCGUACACAAAAAUGCACAUACUGUGAGCUCGAUGAGUAGGGCGGGACACGUGGUAUCCUGUCUGAAUAUGGGGGGACCAUCCUCCAAGGCUAAAUACUCCUGACUGACCGAUAGUGAACCAGUACCGUGAGGGAAAGGCGAAAAGAACCCCGGCGAGGGGAGUGAAAAAGAACCUGAAACCGUGUACGUACAAGCAGUGGGAGCCUCUUUUAUGGGGUGACUGCGUACCUUUUGUAUAAUGGGUCAGCGACUUAUAUUCUGUAGCAAGGUUAACCGAAUAGGGGAGCCGAAGGGAAACCGAGUCUUAACCGGGCGUUAAGUUGCAGGGUAUAGACCCGAAACCCGGUGAUCUAGCCAUGGGCAGGUUGAAGGUUGGGUAACACUAACUGGAGGACCGAACCGACUAAUGUUGAAAAAUUAGCGGAUGACUUGUGGCUGGGGGUGAAAGGCCAAUCAAACCGGGAGAUAGCUGGUUCUCCCCGAAAGCUAUUUAGGUAGCGCCUCGUGAAUUCAUCUCCGGGGGUAGAGCACUGUUUCGGCAAGGGGGUCAUCCCGACUUACCAACCCGAUGCAAACUGCGAAUACCGGAGAAUGUUAUCACGGGAGACACACGGCGGGUGCUAACGUCCGUCGUGAAGAGGGAAACAACCCAGACCGCCAGCUAAGGUCCCAAAGUCAUGGUUAAGUGGGAAACGAUGUGGGAAGGCCCAGACAGCCAGGAUGUUGGCUUAGAAGCAGCCAUCAUUUAAAGAAAGCGUAAUAGCUCACUGGUCGAGUCGGCCUGCGCGGAAGAUGUAACGGGGCUAAACCAUGCACCGAAGCUGCGGCAGCGACACUGUGUGUUGUUGGGUAGGGGAGCGUUCUGUAAGCCUGUGAAGGUGUGCUGUGAGGCAUGCUGGAGGUAUCAGAAGUGCGAAUGCUGACAUAAGUAACGAUAAAGCGGGUGAAAAGCCCGCUCGCCGGAAGACCAAGGGUUCCUGUCCAACGUUAAUCGGGGCAGGGUGAGUCGACCCCUAAGGCGAGGCCGAAAGGCGUAGUCGAUGGGAAACAGGUUAAUAUUCCUGUACUUGGUGUUACUGCGAAGGGGGGACGGAGAAGGCUAUGUUGGCCGGGCGACGGUUGUCCCGGUUUAAGCGUGUAGGCUGGUUUUCCAGGCAAAUCCGGAAAAUCAAGGCUGAGGCGUGAUGACGAGGCACUACGGUGCUGAAGCAACAAAUGCCCUGCUUCCAGGAAAAGCCUCUAAGCAUCAGGUAACAUCAAAUCGUACCCCAAACCGACACAGGUGGUCAGGUAGAGAAUACCAAGGCGCUUGAGAGAACUCGGGUGAAGGAACUAGGCAAAAUGGUGCCGUAACUUCGGGAGAAGGCACGCUGAUAUGUAGGUGAAGUCCCUCGCGGAUGGAGCUGAAAUCAGUCGAAGAUACCAGCUGGCUGCAACUGUUUAUUAAAAACACAGCACUGUGCAAACACGAAAGUGGACGUAUACGGUGUGACGCCUGCCCGGUGCCGGAAGGUUAAUUGAUGGGGUCAGCGCAAGCGAAGCUCUUGAUCGAAGCCCCGGUAAACGGCGGCCGUAACUAUAACGGUCCUAAGGUAGCGAAAUUCCUUGUCGGGUAAGUUCCGACCUGCACGAAUGGCGUAAUGAUGGCCAGGCUGUCUCCACCCGAGACUCAGUGAAAUUGAACUCGCUGUGAAGAUGCAGUGUACCCGCGGCAAGACGGAAAGACCCCGUGAACCUUUACUAUAGCUUGACACUGAACAUUGAGCCUUGAUGUGUAGGAUAGGUGGGAGGCUUUGAAGUGUGGACGCCAGUCUGCAUGGAGCCGACCUUGAAAUACCACCCUUUAAUGUUUGAUGUUCUAACGUGGACCCGUGAUCCGGGUUGCGGACAGUGUCUGGUGGGUAGUUUGACUGGGGCGGUCUCCUCCUAAAGAGUAACGGAGGAGCACGAAGGUUGGCUAAUCCUGGUCGGACAUCAGGAGGUUAGUGCAAUGGCAUAAGCCAGCUUGACUGCGAGCGUGACGGCGCGAGCAGGUGCGAAAGCAGGUCAUAGUGAUCCGGUGGUUCUGAAUGGAAGGGCCAUCGCUCAACGGAUAAAAGGUACUCCGGGGAUAACAGGCUGAUACCGCCCAAGAGUUCAUAUCGACGGCGGUGUUUGGCACCUCGAUGUCGGCUCAUCACAUCCUGGGGCUGAAGUAGGUCCCAAGGGUAUGGCUGUUCGCCAUUUAAAGUGGUACGCGAGCUGGGUUUAGAACGUCGUGAGACAGUUCGGUCCCUAUCUGCCGUGGGCGCUGGAGAACUGAGGGGGGCUGCUCCUAGUACGAGAGGACCGGAGUGGACGCAUCACUGGUGUUCGGGUUGUCAUGCCAAUGGCACUGCCCGGUAGCUAAAUGCGGAAGAGAUAAGUGCUGAAAGCAUCUAAGCACGAAACUUGCCCCGAGAUGAGUUCUCCCUGACCCUUUAAGGGUCCUGAAGGAACGUUGAAGACGACGACGUUGAUAGGCCGGGUGUGUAAGCGCAGCGAUGCGUUGAGCUAACCGGUACUAAUGAACCGUGAGGCUUAACCUUACAACGCCGAAGGUGUUU